rnacentral:rRNA from 1 species
GACGUAGGGCGCGAGCGUUGUCCGGAUUUAUUGGGCGUAAAGAGCUCGUAGGCGGCUUGUCGCGUCGUCCGUGAAAACCCGGGGCUCAACUCCGGGCCUGCAUUCGAUACGGGCGGACUAGAGUUCGGUAGGGGAGACUGGAAUUCCUGGUGUAGCGGUGAAAUGCGCAGAUAUCAGGAGGAACACCGGUGGCGAAGGCGGAUCUCUGGGCCUUACCUGACGCUGAGGCGCGAAAGCUAGGGGAGCAAACAGG